rnacentral:rRNA from 1 species
GCUGGUUUUCUACGAAACAUAUUUAAGUAUGACAUCUAUACAAAAUUUAUGGUGGUACAGCACUGAAUUCCCAACAAAGAUUAUGACAGUGAAUAAACAAAAUAUUUUUAUAUAAGUUUAUUAACUUCUAAUACUAAAGUUUAGGUUGAGGGGACCUCGAAAAUCUUACCAAUGGAAGAGAAACUCGAAAUGACAUAAAUUGAUGAUAGAUAUUCAGACUGCUCAUGAGAAAGUUGAGUAGUCAAGACGGAAACAGCCGAGAACACGAAUACAAGGUCCCAAAUGAUUAUUAAGUGAAAUUAAGGAAAUGACAUAUUGAAUGCAGCUGUAAAGUGAGCUUAGCACAAAAUACUUCUGAGCUUAAAAACUAAGUUAUAUGCAAGAAAACCCUAAAGAUGUUUUGCUGUAUCCCUUUAAAGGUAUAAACAGAAAAAGUAAACAUAUCUGUCAAAAUCUUUUGAUAAAAUGGGUAACUUGCAAGAAAAUUAAUAUUUAUUAAUUUCUUCAACGACUAUACGCUUAGAACUCUUAUUCCUAUUUGAAGAGAUAAGAGUUAUGACAUAGUCUACCAAGUAUGAAAGUACUUGAUUUUUAUAAGUUUGUAGAGAAAGUAAUUACAUUCUUGUAAAUUAUUUUUGUUUUUUAUACUUUCGUAAUAUUAAUUAGUAACUAGAAGGUCGUUGGUUCUACCUUUCACCUAGAAGGCUAGCCCCUGGGUUAAAAUAGUAAACAUUAUUUAUUACUACAAAAAAAAAGUUUAUUUUUAAUAUUUUAAUAGCUACAAAAACAAUAAAUUUAAUGAACCAAAAUUUUAAUUUUUCUCCAGGUUAUAUUAGUGGAUUAGCUCAGACAGACGGGUCUUUCUUUUGUUCAGUAACCAUCUCUACAAAACAUAGAUUUGGACUUCAAUUUAGACCUAAAUUUACUCUAACUGCUGAUUUAGAUUCAAAGUAUGUAUUAGACAAUAUAGCACAAUAAAUAUUUUGGGUGCGAAAAGGUCUCUACAAAUCUUAAAACUCAUAGUGCUGAAUACUUAGUAGAAAGAAUUGAAGAGCUUCAAAAUAUAAUAAUACCUCAUUUCUUAAAUUAUCCAGUGUUUUGUGCAAAAUUACACGCUUUUAAGCUCUUUAGUCAAAUAGUCUCUGUUUUAAGUACUAAGGAAAAAAGAACAAUAGAAGGAAGAAUUGAACUAUUAAAAAUGGCACUAUCUAUGAAUAUUACUACUAAUAGGUCUAAAGAUCGAAUAGAUUUAUUAUUCUCUUUAUUAGGAUCCGAAGAUAUAGAAUUUAUAGAGAAUACUAUAACUAAUAUUACUUCACCUAUUACAGAUAAUAAUAUUGCUGGUAUUAUAGAUGGUGAUGGUUCAUUUUUUAUCUCCUUUAAUGGUGUAAUCAAAACAGGAUUAAGUAUAACUGGUGAUAAAGAUUCAAGACCUUUAUUAGAAGGUAUACAAGAAGAUUUGAAGGAAUAGGUAGUAUUAAAAUAGGGUCCAAAAAAGAAUUAGUAUAUACAAUUACAGGUUUAAAUCAAAUAAUAGAUAUAUUAAUACCAUUUAUGGAUAAUAAUCCUUUAUUUUCUGAACGGUCAUCACACUAUGAAAAAUUUAAAUAGUUAAUUUUAUCUUAAAAAUGAACAACCUUUAACAAUAGAUAGUAAAUUAAAAUAGUUGAAUUGACUUAUGAUAUGAAUAAAAAGGAAAACGUCGAAGUUUGAGUAAAACAGAGUAUAUUAACCUAUUGAAAAAAGACAAAUAGUUUUACCUAAUCUAUGGUAUUAUCCCCCUUUAUUUUUUAUGGAGAUAAGGUUAGGUAGCUUAUAAAUAUUAAUUACCAGACAAAAAGAUAGAAAAUGGGAAGUAGCUAUCUUUUAAUGACCGUAAUGUAACAACGUAGCAGCCCUUAGAAUGUUGUGCCUAAAAUUUAACGGGUCUAAAUAAUCAACCGAUAUCGUGUUUAUUUUGAAUACAUAAAAAAUAUUUUUAUUCAGAAUAUAGGUAGUAGAACAUUCAGUAAAACUUAAAAUAAAACAGUGUUUCAUUGUUUUUAGGUAACUGAAGAGAUAAUGCUGACAUGAGUAACGUAAAAAGAAGUUAUAAUACUUCUCGCCGAAUACGAAAGGGUUAUAAGGAAAGGUUAUACCGCCUUAUGUUAUUGCGGCCUCUAAGGACCAAAACCAAAGUUUUGGCUGAUGAGUAGAUAACUGAAAGUCCAUAUGUAAAUUAAUGGACCAGGAAAAUUAAGUUUUUAUAAUUUAAUUUAUUUUUAUAAUUUUUUAUAAAUAAAAUUAAUUUAGUCUACCGUACCCUAAACCGACACAGGUUCGUAGGUAGAGAAUACUAAGGCGUAGAGCUAAAAGUUGUUAAGGAACUCGGCAAAUUAUCCUC